GGGGAUCGAAGACGAUCAGAUACCGUCGUAGUCCUAACUAUAAACGAUGUCAACCAAGGAUUGGAUGAAAUUCAGAUGUACAAAGAUGAAGAAGCAUUGUUUCUUAAUCUGAGUAUAUCAAUAUUACCUUGUUCAGAACUUAAAGAGAAAUCUUGAGUUUAUGGACUUCAGGGGGAGUAUGGUCACAAGGCUGAAACUUAAAGGAAUUGACGGAAGGGCACACCAGGAGUGGAGCCUGCGGCUUAAUUUGACUCAACACGGGAAAACUUACCAAGACCGAACAGUAGAAGGAAUGACAGAUUAAGAGUUCUUUCAUGAUUUAUUGGGUAGUGGUGCAUGGCCGUUCUUAGUUGGUGGAGUGAUUUGUCAGGUUAAUUCCGGUAACGAACGAGACUGAAACCUAUUAAUUAGUUUUCUGCCUAUAAGACAGAAAUGUUCGCAAGAACAGGUGCGUAAGUACCACUUCUUAAAGGGACACAUUUCAAUUGUCCUAUUUUAAUUGUAGUUAUCUAAUUUCGGUUAGAGCUCUUUUAACGUGGGAAAAAGAAAAAGGAAGCAUUCAGCAAU
rnacentral:rRNA from 1 species